UGGGCUGGGAGCUCCGCCGUGGGAAUGCGGAGAGGCAACCGGCAGCCAACGUGUACCGGGAGGUGGGAUUUUGUAUGAUGACUAUUCUCCCCCUCCCCAGAAAUGACAGACCUGCCACCCCCGGCGCCACACGGAGCGGGCACCGUGCCCGUCUGCCCCCCGGGCUCUUUCCCGUCCCCACGGCGGGCUGCAGAGGGCCCCUCGCACCGGCGGCUUCGCAGAGCCUGGCCCCCCGCUGCGGCUUUGCGCUGGAAUUUGGGCUUCGGGCGGCUUUCUGCGAAUGUGGAGCUGGGUGUCGACUGAUCCUGACCGGCCCUCGGUCCUGAACCGCGCCUCGUCCUGAGCAUCACCUGGAUGUCGGAGCUCCUGAGGGGAAAGAAAAAUUGGUCCCAUGGUCCAAGUGGUGCUUGACCGGGGCACGUGGAUGGCGGUUUUCAGCCACAGGAUGUGUGUUGGGUCCAGAGGGAGUGGCAUGGCUGGGUACCGGGUACCAGGUUAAAAUCAUCAAUGGACACGAAAGAUGAUUAAUUUGUUUCCGAAGGGAUCCAAGUGACAAUUCAGGCCAAGUAACCUAGAGUCCCAUACCACUCUCAAUAUAUUCAAACUUUUUAUUCCAGCAUAGCCAGGGAGUUCUUUUUAAGAAAAUAAAAAAUCUGAUGGUUGCGUGAGCCACAGAGCACAGAGCUGGCCAGGAGCUUGGGCUGAAACCUGAAAUUGCUGGGACGUUGCUCCAUCUUCUUAGGACAUCCUGCGGUUUUUCUCCAAAGAGUCUAUAGAUGGGAUGUAGCUGCUUGACCUGGACCAGAGUCCACCCCCGAAGUGCCUGGUGCUGCUGAGAUGACCCGCACCCCCAGCCGCAGCGUCAGACACACCGGUACAGUUUUCCUGUUAAUUUAAUAACCUGGUUGUGUCAUUGUGUCUUUUUGGUGUUGUCCCCAAGAAAAGGGGAUGCUGAAGGGGACCUGGUGCUGUUGCUCUGGCAGCAGCAAAACCCAGUCCCUUUCUCCUUCUCGGUUGUCCUCCCUGCCGGCAGAUGGAUGCAAUGCACUGGUAUUUUCAUAAACAUUAUUUCAGAAACAUUUUUCAUAAACACAGAAAACAGGCACUGCCUGAUGUAUGAAAAGCCAGAGUCAACCCUGGCUGAGGUCAGACUUUGCAGAUUCCCACUGCUGGCAGUAAGCUUUGGAUCAAGGACAAGACAAAUAGAAAAAUGAAUAUGGGAGACAGUUAGGAAACCAAUCAGAGAAGGAAAAAAAAUAAACACCAAACACCAAACUGAACCGAGUCCCUUGGGCUGAUGGCUACCUACAAACCCUGACCUGUGAACACACACGAACUAAAUGCUUAAAAAAACACAACGUCAGAUGGGAGGAGAGAGUUUCCUUAAAUUAAAAACACAUUUAGAAAAAUGAAUGUGUUGUAACAUCUCAUUUCCUCUCUGGUUUGAUUUUAAACUGCUCCAGAGGGGAUUUUUCAUCCUGUGUAUAAUAUAUUACGUUAUAUUACAUUAUAUUAUAUUAUAAAAAGCCAGCCGGUGUCUGAGCACAACAUAAAAUAAUAGGAAAAAUACACCUGGUCUGGCAGGCGGAACUUCUCCUCGGUGUCUUCACAGGGUCUGGGAUUGCAGAGCAUCCCUGGCUGGCUUCUGGGGGUCCUGGGGCACAUCCAGCUGCUUCCUCAAGCACCCUUUAACUGGAGUCAUUUUUUCCUGGGUGGGUGGGGGGAAACCAAAACCAGAAGAAUUUGCUGUAACCACUUUUUUGAGGGUCUCUCCUCUCCUCGAACUCUUGCUGGUCUAAUUUUUGCCUUCCCUGGGCCAUACCGAUGCUCGGGCGUUCUCUUUCUGCGGUCCUCCCCACUAAGGACUGAGGCAGCUGGGGAGCACAUGCCUCACCUCCCUGCCCGUGCUUUCUUUAGUGGUUUUCAAAUUUAUUUCAAAAUACAUGGUGCAUUGCUUGCUGCCAGUCGUCUCACUAAGGGGCUUUCUCAGCCUGGCUGUAAAACAGCGCACAGAGGUUUGGGUUUUUUUCCCCCCCAUCAUUUACCCCCGAGAAUUCAAGCCUUAGGCUCAGUUCGCAUUCUGCUUCCCCAGCAUAAAUCUCUGCAAUUAAUUGGACUUUAGAUUAGAUUUACUGACCCAACAACGGUAGAAAUGUUCUCCUUAUUGUAAAUCUUGAUGAAAGUAAUGACUUAAGAAAUAAUUAAACCUACCUACAAGGGAGCUGGGAAAGCAGCCGGUGGAACUGGGAGCAAUGCCUUGAGCAAAGGGAUGCUCAAACUCACCCCUGAGGUGUUGGGAAAUAAUUUUCUUUGAGUAACCAAAUCUGUUAAUAUUUGGGUUUGAGUGAGUGGCCUGUCCCUCGCGUGCCUUUGAGGGUGACCUGGAGAAGACACCGGAGGGAGAAGAGAGCCCUGGCUUGGGCUCUCCUGGGAAGCCGGCAGGGAUGUAGCUCUGGCCAUCACUUCCCUCUGGGUAAUUCAGCUGAAAAAAGAUUUGCCCAGAGGGGACACAGGUUGGUGGCUCUGGGGCUGUCAAGUAGGUUGUAAAGAGGAAAAUGUGCUCAGCAUCACUCUGAGAUGUUUAACAGGGGGGUUGAGGGGAGCUCACAUCCCCUGCGCUCACACCGGCUGCUAAGCCCACGAGGAUUUAAAUUUGACGCCCCCAAGGUGGGGAGAUGGCUGUACACUGCUGAGGCGUGAGGUUAGCCCUAAGACAUGCCAGCAAAACGUGUGUGCCCGUCCUCCUGGAGGUGUUUGGCCUCCACAGGCUUUGCCAACAGCCCCAGAGGAGCUGCGGCGGCAGAAGGGGUGACCAAGCCCUGUUCUUGCAGCGCCUGCAGUCUUGUGUUGAUUUUUGGUUUGUUGGUUGUUUUCUUUUCCCUCCCGUCUCCCCCACUGCAUCCAGCUCUGUCACCCAGCCAGGAUCCCAACUGAACUGUGUAACUGGGUAGAUAACAUCCCCCAAAUCCUCCAGUCCCAUCCUGCAUGGAUUUCCUGCUCCAGCAGCAACACAAACCGCAGCCAACGUUUAAGGAGCCCAGAGCACCAACAGCUCAGGUCAGCCCAAAGGAUUUUCUGGAGCUUGUGCAAGGCACAGGGGCGUUUGCAGGGCAGGGACAGUUGCAGCGGGGACCUGCCCCUCCACGGUUGUUUUACCCUGAUGUUCAGCCCAAGCUGAGCUUUAGCUCCCUUUGAAAUUGGGCUUUUGCAACAUUUAAAUGCAUAGAUUAAUGAUCCUGCUUCAAGAUGAGGUCCUGAUAGCCAGCUUAAACUAAUGUCCUAUUAAACACAGCCUGUCUGUGCUAUGAACUUGGUCUCCCUGCUCCGGUGGGAAAGGCAGCGCAGGGAGGGAAGCUGAUGCCGAGGCAGCGCAUCCCUCCAGAAGGCUGCUGCUGGCUGAGGUUUACCAGAAGGAGCACUUGGAUGUUAAGAAGCCAACACGCUAUUUCCAGGCAGCCUGGGUUCAUGCAAAGUCAGCGCAGCAAGGGAAGCAAGCCGUCCGGUAUCCUCCCACUGGACUCAAGCCACUUUGGCCUGACACAUCCAUUAAAAAAGCAAUGUGGGAUGUUUCUUCCAUGCCGAAGGCGAUGGGAGGCCCUUUCGCUGUUCCUAAGGCAGCCAAAAUGUCACCCAAAGUGGAUAUACAUAAUGCAGAAUUGUGGACACGGCCGACAAGCAUCACAGAGGAACCCAGGGCAGCAUCCCCACUUCGUUUUAAGCCCCAGCCUUCUUUCCCGAGCCUCCCCUGCGAUGCCUUUGCCCUUGCCCCAUCACCCCGCGAGUGCUUUGCCCGCAUUGAGGGUGGUUUUAGUUCGGUUCUUCCUUCUGCUUCUGAGGUUUGUUUCCGCAGCUCUUGCUUGGUGCCAGCUGCUGGUGCGUGAAGCCCAAGUGCUGUCUCAAAUCUGGCAGAGGGUUGUGCUGGGGACCUACAGGCUUGCUCAGGGCUCCUUGGAGGUGUCUUUUGGGGACCUUUGCGGUUUUCUGGAAGGUACGAUGAGUUCAGUCCUUGGGAGGCUUCGUCAGCUGCUGUUGGCAAGAGCAGUGGGCUUCAAGUUGCUGAGAGCAAGUGAGGGAAGAGCCUGUGACGGUUGCACACAGAAGAUGAGCUCCUGAAGGCAUUAAGUGGCAGGUACGGGCUAAGCAAAGGAAAGCAGUUCAUCACACAGCAGUUAAUUACAUGGUGGAGCUCGUUACUCUCUUCAAAUCUAUCCAGACUCAAUGUAAAGGAGCAGUAAGUGAGCCUGUAGCCCAGCUGGAUGCUAUGACUGUGCCUGUGCUGCAUUCAGAGCCACCUGGGACUCUAAAUCCGUGGGGUUAGCCCAUUAUAGACGCUUCCUGGAAAACUGGGGUGCAGAAUGUUGCAUUUUUCAAAGAGCAACUCGCCAGCAGCACAGCUGGUUGGAAGAUGGGGAGACCAGGAUUUCAGAGGUGCUGGUAAAGCUCCUGCCAGAGGGAAGCUCAUGUGGGAUCUGCCCUCCUCAAGAACUGGAGCAAUGGGAUGUUUCCGAGUCCAGGAAUCGUUCCUGUGGGUUUCUGCUGCCAUGCACUUAGCCUCACAAACAACCCAGGAUGGGCUGGGGGGAGGCAAAAGCCAAAGACAUCUCACUGACCAGCAGCUGAGGUCAGGGAUCCACCAUUGCCCUCCAUCCCACUCAUUCUAAGGAUGUUCUCCCAGCAUUAGUAACACAAAUGCUGAAUUCUGGUGGAUAAAGCUGCAAACCUGCCCGAGCUCAGCACGGGGGGAGCCAGAACACCCCAGUCUGUGCGGCUGGAACUGUCAUGGUGCAAAAGUGACACUGUACCGGGACGCGCUGGAUCUGGGUGCUCAUGCCUGGCAGGAGAAGGCAGAAACCUCUCAGCUCUCACCUGCUGGCAGAGGUACCAGGAGCAGCACAACCAGCAACAGCUGGGAGCUACAGCCUCCGUCUCGAGUCUCACCCUCAUCUCUAGCAGGAAUUCAAGUUUUUUUGUGUUGUGGUGGAAACAAGGCUUUGUCUGGGAGGAAAAGCAGGUCUCGGGAAUUGCUGGAGAUAGCUCAUCCCUUGGAUCCAGGCUUUUACACACCAGCUGGGUUCAGGCUCCGGCAAUGGUGCUGGAAGUCCUGCAAGGGGCCGCGUGUCUCCUGCAAGGCUGGGCGCCACAGCCCUCUCCUCCAGCAGCCCUCGGCUUCCAAGGGAAUCCAUUUGCUUUUCUAUCACUUAAUAAACUGGUCCUGAAAGUCCUGCUCAAAGAAGAUGCUGGCAGUGCACCCAGGGAUGCCACGCAUGGGCUGACAGCCUUUCUUUUCCUGUAAUUAAAAGCUAUUCAAGGGGUGUUUGCGUGCUGGUGGAGAGAGGAAGAGUGUCCUGCCAGCGAGAAGAAGGGGGCUGAAAUGAGAAAGUCCCCUCUGGCAUGUGUAACGGGGAAAUAAUCACCCGCUUUCCGUCAGGCCCCGCUUGGCCGGGGACCAGCUCCCCUCGGCCCUGGGAGGGAGAAGAGAUUAAUCCACCGUCACCGUGGAUUAAUGCUGACAGGAGGGCUGGCCCGUGACAAGAUAGAUGACAGGGUUACACGGCAAUGCGUGAGAAGCCAGACCCUCUCAAGCCAGCACAGUUUUCCUUUCGUGACUGCCUUCCUCCUCAAUCCCAGCCAGCUCCCACCUUGGGAAAGGCGCCUUUAACCCGUUCCUGCCCACCGAUGGAUCAGGAGAGCACAUGAGGCUGGAGGAGAUGUGGGAAACCUGGAACCAGGGUCAGAAGCAGAAUAAAAAUGCCCCAAACCAGCUUUGUUCUGGGGGCAGCUUCGUUUGCUCGUUAGCCUUGCCGAACACACAGCCUCCCUGGACCUACAGCGCCCUUCAGCACCUACAGCAUCCAUAAUGCUUUCAGCCAAGCUCCGAUAAAUCCACACACGUGCAUUCCUGGCAGCGGCAUUGUGCUCGGGUUUAUUGCAGCUGUAAAUGCAAACUGCUCUCCUCCCAGCCUCGCUCAAUGCAUCCACUUGAAAGCCCCUGCACUCGAAGCCUUGGCCCCACCGCCCCCAGGGCGAGCGAGGGCUCACACAGGCAGCCUCAGCCUCCCCUUCCAGCCAAGCAAGAUGCCCGUGACCACCUUCUGCACCCUCUCACUUGCCCCCUCCCUGCUCUGUGCUCCACCUGCUCUGCUCUUCCCCUCUAUUUCAUACCUCAAAUGCCUUAACAGGUUACUUAGGCAAGUCACGGAGCAAAGCAUACAUAAAGUUGACUUCCAUUGUGCUUUCUGUCCCAAGGUUGGUUUAAUCAAUUAUUAUUUAUUUCACUUUUCUGUCUGAGGCAUAACACAGCUAUGAGAUGGAGGUGACGGUCUUAAGCUAGAGAAGGGAUGGAGCUCAUUAGCCCUAAGCAGCCAGGCUCAAGGACUCACUUUCAUCCCAGUUUUUACCCUAGCAAAACCUCUCCCUGGGGGUGGUGGUGAACUCCACACAAUUGUACUUUCUUCUUUCCCAGCAGAUGUAGAUGGUUUUAAAAUAUGUGAUGGACCACCACUGAUUAAAGGAUCAUAUCUUGUCCCUAUUUUGUAUAAAAAAACCAAGUACAGUCUAGUUAUCUUACAAACAAGCUCCUGCUAAAGGAAACUAAAACUCCUCAGGACAAAUUCAAGCAGCAGUAGAAUACAACUAGUUUAACCAAGUUAAACACCAACUUGCUGUCUUUUGCUGCACAGGAAGAAUAAAAACAUACCCUUUGUUUUCA